UUGAAAUUUGAAAAUAAGACUUGUUUCAUUGAUCAUAAGGAACUAUUUUCAUCCAAAAUGCUCAUUUCAUUCAUACAAUACCAUUUACAAAGAAUUCAUACAAAAAUUACAAAAAAAUGGAUUUUGACCUACAAUUGACUUUGGUCAAUUGUUGGCUUUUUGGUCAACAAGUUGACUAAAGUCAACUUACCUAAUCCUUAAACCUAAUGUCAAUGUUCGCUGGGAUUCUUCAUUCUCCGUCUUCUCUUUUAACUUCAUGGCCAAGGUUACUUCACUUGCAAGCAAGACAUGUUGUUUUCUUCAAGUAAUCACCUUGCCUUUCAUGAUGGUUUCAUACCAAGCACCUUGAAGUCACAUUCCAAGCAUAGGUAAGCCUGCAUUAAAUGUAUCACCAAGGCACAUCAUAAAACGGAUUCAAACAACCAACAUAGUUAUCACACAUUUCAUCAACACCACAUACAAAUGCAACCAUAACUUUCAGCCUGCAUAUGGUAACUAAGUGACUAACAUUUUGCAACCAUGCCAUACCUCAAUACAAGCUAAUUGACCUCUCACAUUUAAACCUAUCUAAUGCCAAUUUCAUUCAUACAUUUAGCUAGCAUCAUACUCAUAACAAAACCUAUAUUAACAAGAAGUUCAUCUAACCAAUAAAUGACUUCACAAACAAACUGUUAACUUCUAACAAAUGAACUAAAUUUCAUCACUUCCUUCAAACAGGUUUUAUCACAUUCACUGACAGCAUGACAACUAAUCUAACUGUAAUUUAAAUACCACAAUUUCACUCAACAGGAAUUUAGUUCUAACAUGUUACUUUAACUUUUUUUUAACAUUCACAUAGAUGUCAUUAACAACCUAUCAUUUUAACUUUGAUCUAAUUAACUAACAAAACAAUAUGACAACAAUCAUGUAACAAGAAUUUUAGCAAAAUUAUCACCAUUCAAAAAUAUAGUAAUCUAAUGGAUAACUGACUUUGUGAUAAUAGAAUUUCUGUCUAACUAGUGUGAUAGAAGUUUCCCUGUAACUAAAUAUUCUAACAGCACCACAUUCAUUCUAAUUUUGAAAAUUAACUAAACAUUCAUCUAACAAUCAACAUCAACACUAACUUAGUAGAGAUCGCUAAUAAGGAAAAUGUCAUCAAUGUUCAUUUAACAUGAAUUUCACUAACUAAUAUUAACAGAAGAUCAACUUUUCUAACUUCCUAACAAUCAAACCAUUAACUAACAAAACUAACAACUUCUAACUGCAACUUUAAACUAACAGAAAUUCUAAGCUUAACUCAGCAUCUAACUAACUUCCAUUUAACAGAUUUAAUUCAAACCUAACAUAAUUCUUAUCUAACUAAUUUUCAUGCAUCCCAUCAGUUAAUGGUGUCUUCAUUCCAAACUAAAUUGAACUGGCUCUGAUUAACAAAGUUAACCUCUGUUAAUCUCCAACCUCUAUAUAAUCUAUCCUCAUACCAAUCAUUCAUUCACAAACACUCCCUCAAUCCUCUCACAUUCACAAUCUCUCAAAAAAUCUCUCUCAGUCACUCACUCUCAUUAAUACACAAGCAUAAAACAACAACAGAAGAAGAGUUAAAAAGAAGAAGGAGUGGAACAAAGAAGAAGAAAGAGCUCCAUAUUCAAGUUACUCGCCUGAGAUUGUUCUGGAAUCUCUACUUCAUUCAUCAUCAUCUUUUUCACCGAGACAAAACUCUAUGUCGAAGGUUGGUACCUUGAUUUUGUCUGCUCAUUACCGAGGUUUUUCCACCGUGAUGUAGUUCUUAGUCCCAGGAAUUAAAGCCCUAACCAUAUUGGCUUUAAUUCCUUUUCCUUAGAAUUUAAUUUCUUAAUUUUGUAUCUAGGGUUCAUGCAUAUUUCGAUUCGGUUAGAAAGUUAUUCUUAGAAUUGGGAGACGAGGAUAAUGGAUAUUGUUAGAGCGCAUUGGGACGAAGGGAUCCAUAUAUGACUUUGCUGAUUUUAGUCUCCGCCUCCACCGUUGGUGAAUUCCGACGCGGCAGAGUUCAUUCUCAGGUGAGGCAUGUUGAACAUUUUAAACAUGUGAGCUGGUGAACGCUGCCUCUUUCCCUUUCUCACUUUGUUUGGCUUGGGCCUUGAAGCGCCAGGGCCCAAUAUUUUGCUUAAGUUUACACUUUGAAUAUAGGAGUAC
rnacentral:lncRNA from 1 species